rnacentral:rRNA from 1 species
UACGGAAGGCAGCAGUGGGGAAUAUUGCACAAUGGGCGCAAGCCUGAUGCAGCCAUGCCGCGUGUAUGAAGAAGGCCUUCGGGUUGUAAAGUACUUUCAGUCGUGAGGAAGGUGUUAAGGUUAAUAACCUUAGCAAUUGACGUUAGCGACAGAAGAAGCACCGGCUAACUCCGUGCCAGCAGCCGCGGUAAUACGGAGGGUGCGAGCGUUAAUCGGAAUUACUGGGCGUAAAGGGCACGCAGGCGGUUAAUUAAGUUGGAUGUGAAAUCCCCGGGCUUAACCUGGGAAUGGCAUUCAAGACUGGUUUAGCUAGAGUCUUGUAGAGGGGGUAGAAUUCCAUGUGUAGCGGUGAAAUGCGUAGAGAUGUGGAGGAAUACCGGUGGCGAAGGCGGCCCCUGGACAAAGACUGACGCUCAUGUGCGAAAGCGUGGGGAGCAAACAGGAUUAGAUACC